UCCAUUGAUCCGACGUGGAGGUCCUCUUCAUGAGAUCGUCUGCCACACACUGAGGAGUCAAAUGCAAGGAGGUGUUUGGACCGGAGAGCACCUUGAUGGAUAAACAGUCAUCAGCAGGACCCACAGUUCAGGCAACAUCAAUGGAGCAGGCGACACCGAUUACUUCAUGAGCCCAGCCAGGGUCAUCUAUCACAGCUGCGGUCCCGUCACCGGCACCUACGGCAGAGGCAAGGGCUAUGGCACAGGACCAACCGCAGGACAGUCACGGAGUCAACCCACAAGUGAAAAGAAUCUGGAUUGUGAGUCACUCUUUCAUCCAUUGGACCUCUAUUCGUUGCUCCUCUCUAGUGGUCAGGCAGAACUUAGAGGCCCCUCUCAUAAGGCCUCUAUUAGGUGGUUAGGGAACAGGGGUAUGUGCUGGCCACAAUUAGCAGAGGUGAUCACUGAGGACCUCUUAACUUAAUAUCCUGAUUCUACACCUGGGGGCAAUGAUGUGGGGGGCAGUCCCGGUCCUCCAGUUAAAAAUAAUGCAGUCAGACAUUAAUUGGGCAAAGGUCCGCAUUCCCGGGAUCAUGCUAGGGUGGUCAAAUAGUGUCCCCCGUUUACACUGAAGGCAUAUGUCUGCUCAUACAGUGGCAUAUAGGGUAAGGAAAAAGAUUAAUGCCUCUUUAUCUAGGACAGUCACAGAGUCCAGUGGCUUCGUGGUACGUCACAAAGCCAUCACAGCUCACAGAACUGAGCUAUUUAAGAGGGAUAAAGUUCACCUAUCUGAUUUAGGACUUGAAAUACUCAGCGACAUCUCCUUUUGGAGCAGAGAACGCUCUGCUGCUA